rnacentral:ncRNA from 1 species
GGCACCACCAGGAGUGGAGCCUGCGGCUUAAUUUGACUCAACACGGGAAACCUCACCCGGCCCGGACACGGAAAGGAUUGACAGAUUGAUAGCUCUUUCUCGAUUCUGUGGGUGGUGGUGCAUGGCCGUUCUUAGUUGGUGGAGCGAUUUGUCUGGUUAAUUCCGAUAACGAACGAGACUCCGGCAUGCUAACUAGUUAUGCGGCCCCGAGCGGUCGGCGUCCAACUUCUUAGAGGGACAAGUGGCGUUCAGCCACACGAGAUUGAGCAAUAACAGGUCUGUGAUGCCCUUAGAUGUCCGGGGCUGCACGCGCGCCACACUGAGCGGAUCAGCGUGUGUCUACCCUUCGCCGAGAGGCGUGGGUAACCCGCUGAACCCCACUCGUGAUAGGGAUUGGGGAUUGCAAUNNNNNNNNNNNNNNNNNNNNAAAGCAUUAUGUGGGCUUGCUCCUACCUAUCUUUCCGAUUUGGUCCUGCC